GUCUGGUUCAAAGGUAAUGAGUUAUCUCAACUGAUUGUUCACAGUCAGUUACAGAUCGAACUCCUUGUUCUGCUCUUUCUUCUCUUCUUACUACUGCACUUGACUAGUGUUAA
rnacentral:Y_RNA from 1 species